rnacentral:rRNA from 2 species
ACGCCGCGUGAGUGAUGAAGGCUUUCGGGUCGUAAAACUCUGUUGUUAGGGAAGAACAAGUACAAGAGUAACUGCUUGUACCUUGACGGUACCUAACCAGAAAGCCACGGCUAACUACGUGCCAGCAGCCGCGGUAAUACGUAGGUGGCAAGCGUUAUCCGGAAUUAUUGGGCGUAAAGCGCGCGCAGGCGGUUUCUUAAGUCUGAUGUGAAAGCCCACGGCUCAACCGUGGAGGGUCAUUGGAAACUGGGGAACUUGAGUGCAGAAGAGAAAAGCGGAAUUCCACGUGUAGCGGUGAAAUGCGUAGAGAUGUGGAGGAACACCAGUGGCGAAGGCGGCUUUUUGGUCUGUAACUGACGCUGAGGCGCGAAAGCGUGGGGAGCAAACAGGAUUAGAUACCCUGGUAGUCCACGCCGUAAACGAUGAGUGCUAAGUGUUAGAGGGUUUCCGCCCUUUAGUGCUGCAGCUAACGCAUUAAGCACUCCGC